rnacentral:pre_miRNA from 1 species
AAUGGCUGCAAUAAACAUUCAUUGCUGUCGGUGGGUUGUAGUUUAGAAAAGCUCAUUGAUCAAUGAAUGCAAACUGCAGACCA